rnacentral:rRNA from 1 species
CUGCAGCCCGAGUGGUGACCGAUAUUAUUGAGCCUAAAGCGUCCGUAACCGGUCUGGUAAAUUCUUGGGUAAAUCGGGCAGCUUAACUGUCCGACUUCCGAGGAGACUGCCAGACUUGGGACCGGGAGAGGUCAGAGGUACUCCAGGGGUAGGGGCUAAAUCCUGUAAUCCUUGGGGGACCACCAGUGGCGAAGGCGUCUGACUAGAACGGAUCCGACGGUAAGGGACGAAACCCUGGGGCGCAAACCGGAUUAGAUACCCGAGUAGUCC